rnacentral:lncRNA from 1 species
CUGAACCAGUUUUUUAAAGUUUUGAACCAGUUUUUUGAAGAGUCUGAAGGGCAACUCUAUGGACCAGGAAUCGCUGAUUAGCAUAUUAAUGCGAUGGAAAUUGCGACCUGUACCUUUCCCGCCGCACGACAAAUGCAUACUCGAGACGCCUCGGUGAAAUGCUUGUACCAGGCAUAAUAUGACAUGUAUCCUAAUGAAAAAAUUCGAGAAGACUGUUGAAAUACAUAACAAUAAACCCUGAAAGUUUCGUUUUAA